ensembl:lncRNA
AGUUAAUAGCUGCCAAAAAGUGACUUGCAUUGUUAUCUGUCGAUUUGAUACCAUUCUUUUAAUCUAUUCUCAACCUUUUAUAAGUGUAAUUUCUCUUGUAUUCCAUCUGGAAAAUGACAGCUGCAAAGUUGGAAUGUUGCCCUGAACAUCCAAACAUAAAAGUGGAUAAUAGUAGUUGUGCUUUCAGACAGGCUGUGGCCUGCAAAACUGUGCUUUUAUCUGAUUUAUCUCUGUCUUACUAAUAACCUUUUAGAAUUCUAAUUGAAUGGAGAAGCAGCCUACAUCCUCUUGAUUUUUAUCAUCUUAGUUGUAUCUCGUGUGAAGUUUUAGAAGCAAUGUGAUUGUAACUGAGAUAUCCAAGAUGUCUGUGGAUUGACUGAAUGAAGACAGACAUUGUUUUACUGUACUAUGAUUACCACCAGUGCUUGUGAAUCUUUUUCUUGAGGAACUAUGUCUUCACUUUUACAUUCAUUUAUUUUUUACAAAUAUUAACCAGGCAUCAGAAGGAUGUUCAGAGAACAACCAGCCCAUUGUUGGACCAGGCUUUAUUCUCACUUUCUACUGGUUAUGUAGGUGUAGCAGACUGUCUGAGGAGAGUACCACGUAGCAGGUGUAGCAGACUGUCUCAGUGGAGAGUACCACGUAGCAGGUGUAGCAGACUGUCUCAGUGGAGAGUACCACGUAGCAGGUGUAGCAGACUGUCUCAGUGGAGAGUACCACGUAGCAGGUGUAGCAGACUGUCUCAGAGGGACACUGAUUAAUUUGGAGGAGAUUUGAGGAUUGUUCUGUCUUCACCUGUUCACGCCUUACCCUCAGCCGUAUUGGUCAAUCAUCAAUUACAAUGAAGCAAGUGCUAAAAUGGAUUGGAUAUUCAGAUGUAUGCCAUUAGACUUACAAAAAAAAAGAUCAAACUUUUAGAAAAUUAUUUGCACGGACAAACUUGUUUGCGUAUAAUAGCAAUUGAGAGAUAUAAUUACAGUGUCAUUCACUUUACACAUGUACCUGCCAUUAGCUUGAGGUUAAUAGAGUAGCGUAGAGCAGUCAUUUUGUUCCACUAUAUGGACAUGUAAAGACACUUUAUAAUCUACAAAAUGCC